CCUACGGGUGGCAGCAGUGAGGAAUAUUGGUCAAUGGGCGCGAGACUGAACCAGCCAAGUCGCGUGAAGGAAGACGGUCCUAUGGAUUGUAAACCUCUUUUAUCGGGGGGCAAAAUGCGCCACGCGUGGCGUUCCGAGUGUACCUGAAGAAAAAGCAUCGGCUAACUCCGUGCCAGCAGCCGCGGUAAUACGGAGGAUGCGAGCGUUAUCCGGAUUUAUUGGGUUUAAAGGGUGCGCAGGCGGAGUGUUAAGUCAGCGGUAAAAGCCCGGGGCUCAACCUCGGCCCGCCGUGGAAACUGGCAGUCUUGAGUUGGCGAGAAGUAUGCGGAAUGCGCGGUGUAGCGGUGAAAUGCAUAGAUAUCGCGAAGAACUCCGAUUGCGAAGGCAGCAUGCGGGAUCCAUACUGACGCUGAGGCACGAAAGCGCGGGUAUCGAACAGGAUUAGAUACCCGUGUAGUC
rnacentral:rRNA from 1 species